CUCACAGCUCACAGCACCCGUGGAGGCCAAAUCAUGCUGGGAUGGACCCUCUGUAUUUGCAGCCCAAACGUGUGUGAGUCUGUGAGCUGCAUGUGUUAAAACGUGUUUGCAUUUGGGAUGGGGACUGAGGAAGCAUCUGGGGACUGGACAGAAGAGUUUCCCCAGGAUGCAGUACUUUGAACAAACCAUGGAUUCCAGAAAAGACAUCUGUUUCCAUCAAGAACUAACAUGGAAUAAUAACAAAGAAGAUGUGGCCACAUGCUCUCAGGUGCAGUCGGAGCAGUCAUAAAAGCAGGCUACUGAAAAAGAAGGAUUCUGCCAAGUAUUAAGCCCCUCUAGCACGCAUUUGCCCUAGGGUAUUCCUUCUUACAACACAGAGCUCAAAUAUAUGCCAUGAAUCUCCAGCACAGCAUGGUGGUUUUUCUCAGGAGGAAAAAAUAUGAUGGCAUUCGUUCAUACAACUUCUUUAUUUUCAAUUGAAAUCAUCAGCUUGGCCUCGAUGAACCAUUUGAAGUCAAAAGGGAAACAAUUGCCCUUGAUAAACUAUCUUUCCUCCUCCCCUAUUCCUUUCUCUUAGUUUUCUGCAUAAAUUAUUAACCUUUCCCCAAUUUGAGGUAGAAACUGAAGGUCAAAGAAGAGAUAUGAGAAGGAGUUUUCCCAUCAAGGGAGGUCCUUUUCUGAUGGAUGACUAAGCCCUGAGAAAUGCUUAGAAAUAGGCAAGAGGGGAUGAAUGCUGCUCUACAUUCAGGUAGCUUUUUGGCUUGGCAAAACUUUAAAAUGUGAUGAAAUCUCUAGAGAGCAAGAAAAAAAAGAUACAGAAAUGGAAAAACCCUUAUGGACCCCAACAACAACAACAACAACAAAACUGUUCUCUAUUACCAUGGUCCCAUCUAUUCCUAUUGAAAUGUAGACCAAGAUGGAUAAGAUGAAUAUUGUAUGUUGACACAGCAAAAUAAUCUGCAGUAACAAAGCCAUGCCUUUGCUUCCUAAAGUUAUCAGAAUGGCACCUUAAAAUUAUGGUCAUAAAGGAACCUGUGAUUGGCCAUACGUUUGAGUUUUCAAGAAGAGAUCUUACACGGAACAUGAGAAAACUACAGUGACUCUCUUGAGAUUUUUCGAAUGACACACAAGCACCAAAGAGGAACUUUUGCCUUUUCGGACAAGUUAAGUACAUUAAAUAUAAUAAGGUCUGAUAAAUCAGAAACAAAAAGUGAAAUUCAUGUUAAGGCCUCAACUCAGUGUUUUAGAAGAGAAUUUUUCUGGGUUUUAUAGUAUCUGACAGUUAAUAGGCCAGGCACAGUGGCUCACACCUGUAGUCUCAGCACUUUAGAAGACAGAGACAAGUGGAUCUCUUGAGCCCAGGAGUUCGAGAACAGCCUGGGCAAUAUUGUGAGGCCCCCAUCUCUACUAAAAAUAACAAAAUCAGCUAUUAGCUGGGCAUGAUGGCAUGCAUCUGUGGUCCUAGCUACCGGGGAGGCUGAGGUGGGAGGAUUGCUUGAGCCUGGGAGGCAGAGUUUGCAGUGAGCCAUGAUUGCACCACUGCAUUCCAGCCUGGGUGACAGAAUGAGACCUUUUCUCAAAAAGAUAAAAAAUAAAUAAAAAAUUAAAGGAAUCCAGUUAACAGUUGUCGCAGGAUGUUAAAGAAUCAGGCUUUAUGGUUUUAAUCAUUACAUAUUCCAGAGGUAAAAUUCUGAGGAAAUCAUUUUUAUGGGUUUAACAGCCAUUCAUACUAUUCUUUAAUGAACAGAGAUUCUGCCACGGAAGAAAGGCUAUUGCAAUUGUCUAGUUUGAGGUUGAUAAAAUUUCUUUUUGACUGGAAAAGAGAAAUUUCCAGUGAAAGGUGAUUUCUUGGCCGGGCACAGUGGCUCAUGCCUGUAAUCCCAGCACUCUGGGAGGCAGAGGCAGGUGGACCACCUGAGGUCAGCGGUUCGAGACCAGCCUGGCCAACAUGGCGAAACCUCGUCUCUACUAAAAAUACAAAAAUUAGCUGGGCGUGUUGGUGGGCACCUGUAAUCCCAGCUACUUGAGAUACUGAGGCACAAGAAUCACUUGAACCUGGGAGGCAAAGGCUGCAGUGAGCGGAGACUGUGGCACUGCACUCCAGCCUGGGCCACAGAGUGAGAUACUGUCUUAAAAAAAAAAAAAAAAAAAAAGAAAGGUGAUUUCUUUACACAGUAGGAACCGGGGGCAAUUAACUUUCGGGCACUUACUUGUACUCAAUUAAUAAUUGAUAUAUAAAUGAAUGUAUCAAAGGCAUCCUGGGAGAUCCCCACAAAUCUGAAACUGCCUACAACAUCCUCCCAAUUUGAUCGGAAUAACUUAAUUGUACUAGGCCUUAGGUUCUGUAAGAAUCCAAAGUGGUGUAAGGUAAGUUUUAUCUGGAAUAGACAGUACAAAUAACAUAGUUCUCCAAAGAAUACAUAAUAUACAAUUGAUGAUGGUAGAAAGUAGAACAAUGGGAAGUGGUUACUCCUUAAGAAUAAUACUUGCUUUCUCCAAAAGGGCUCACUGAGCCACCCAGCAUAUUCCAAGAGUCUAAACAAGGACCGUUGACUAAUUACUUCCAUUAGACUUCCUCUUCGAGAUCCAAAGUUACAUCUGUCCUUCCUCCUUCUCCUUAGAAGAACCAGCUCUCCCAAGAUCUAAGAAGAAAACUCCCAGAAUUAGGCCACGGUAGGCUGGGAAGUAGUUGAGUGAGACAUUUUUUGUACCUUCAGGUGCUGAAAACUCAGCCUCUUUUGAGGAGUUGCCAGAUCCUCCUGGAUCCUAGGAGGGCCAAACCAGCUCAUGUGUCCUAUUAAGAUUCACAGCAAGUGGUCAUGGCCUUCCUGGGCAUGGCUUUACGAGCUGUGGGGAAGAGUUCAGAAGACCCAUAUGGGCUGGAGGAGCCUGUUCUUUGGGAGGGUUUCUGCAGGUAUUUUGAAAUGAUUCUGAAGAACUGGCUCUAGGCCAUGUUUUAUUUUUCAGAGGGAGGCUUAUAUGCAAUCAAACUAACCCCAGUGAAAAUGAAAUCACAGUUAGGAGAAGAAGAAAGGACCAGAAUAGUUCAUGAAUUGCCGUACUCCUUACUCUUCUAAUGUAAACAAUAUUAAAAUGCAAUUAUUUCACUAAGGAAAGCUUUUCAAGGUACAGUUCCUUUAAGAAUCAGUUCUGCUGGUAAGGGAACCAAAAAAAUCUCUGUACUUCCUCAAUGGAUUUUAAAUAUAUCAGUAACUCUUCUUGCCCCAAUCCCCAUCAUCCAAAUUUACACUAACCAAAGAAUUUAUGGGUAUAAAAUUACUGUCCUGGGUGGAGGAACUCCUACACAGAAUAGCAACAUGCUUUUAUAGCAAAAGAAGAUGAUGGAGUCUUUAGCAUCCAUGCUGUUUUAUUCAGAAAGAAAAAAAUAUAUAUUGGGGGGGUGGGGGCUGAAGUUAAAGAUAUAUUUUCCUCUUUGCAGCUCUAUAAUUUCAUUCCCCAUAAAAGAGUGAAUCAGACUGAGUUGUCAAAUGAAAAGUAAACUUCAUCGCCUUUGCGAUCAGAAUAAUUUAAUUAGCUUUAUUGGCUCUUACAGGCUGUCACCUUAUUUAUUGGUUUUUCAGCUUUCUUCUCAUUUUCAAUUAGGCUUUAAAAAAACAAAUGCAAAAUCAUUCACUAAAUUCAGAAUAAUUAAAACAAUAUUGUGUUUCCAGUUUGGAAACAUGGUAGAAUGUAUUGCUUCUGGGUACACUUCGGAGAGGUUAAAGUGACAGAGCAGAUAAAAAGGACACUUAGUACACACGUAAAUCAUUUGCAUUACAAAUAAGAUACUUUAGCAGGGGUUGGACUCCCUGCCUGACAGUCAGGAUUAAGUUCCCAUAUUAAUACAUGCAUUUGGUGUGGUUAUUUUGGGUGAAAGACUUCAUCCAUCAAUGCCCUCUGCCACUAAGUAAGGCCAACCUGUAAACUGAUCACCACAGCCUGUCAACACUGGUUACUUAAUUAUAUAAAGAAAAUAUGUUUAAAAGACUUUUGAUAAUUUGGUUAGUAUUUCAACAUCUUUUUCAAGGUUCCUUAAAAUAAUAGCUAAAGCAUUUUUAAGAAUUAAAAACUGAAAACUAUGACUAUUUUUAUGUUUCCUGCUAAUCUUUCUUUUUCUUUUAUUUGCAGAAGGGAAAAAUAAAGAUUCAGUAAGCAUUAAUGAAGAUGAAUAUAAAUGAAAUAAUAUUUUUAAAAGAUAUUUUAAUUAAAAAUUAAAUUCAAUGCAUG
rnacentral:lncRNA from 10 species